rnacentral:rRNA from 1 species
CUGUCGUACGGGUGCGUAACACGUAUGCAACCUACCUAUCACAGGGGGAUAGCCUCUGGAAACAGGGAUUAAUACCGCAUAAAGCAGGGACACCGCAUGGUGAUAUUGCUAAAGAUUUAUCGGUGAUAGAUGGGCAUGCGUCUGAUUAGUUAGUUGGUGAGGUAACGGCUCACCAAGACGAUGAUCAGUAGGGGGCGUCAGAGCGUGGUCCCCCACACUGGCACUGAGAUACGGGCCAGACUCCUACGGGAGGCAGCAGUAGGGAAUAUUGGGCAAUGGAUGCAAGUCUGACCCAGCCAUGCCGCGUGCAGGAAGAAGGUCCUCUGGAUUGUAAACUGCUUUUUUGGGGGAAGAAUAGUUUUCUUGCGAGGAAAUGUGACGGUACCCUAAGAAUAAGCCACGGCUAACUACGUGCCAGCAGCCGCGGUAAUACGUAGGUGGCAAGCGUUGUCCGGAUUUAUUGGGUUUAAAGGGUGCGUAGGUGGUUUGAUAAGUCAGUGGUGAAAGCCGGUUGCUCAACAAUCGAGUUGCCAUUGAUACUGUCGGACUUGAGAGAAGUGGAGGUUCAUGGAAUGGAUGGUGUAGCGGUGAAAUGCAUAGAUAUCAUCCAGAACGUCGAUUGCGAAGGCAGUGGGCUGUACUUUAUCUGACACUGAGGCACGAAAGUGUGGGGAUCAAACAGGAUUAGAUACCCUGGUAGUCCAC